ensembl:snRNA U6 U6 spliceosomal RNA
GUGCUCCCUUCAGCAGCACACAUACUAAAACUGAAAUGAUACAGAGAUUAGCAUGACCCCUGUGCAAAGAUGACAGGGAAUUCAUAAAAAACGAGAAAAAAGAU